UGAGAUUGCUGGCACUGUUCGAGCGACAGCGAAGAAGCGCAAAAUCGCUCCGUGGCACUCAAACGGUUUAUUUGUGGUUUAUAAUUGGACAACAUUACACAAUACUAUUUGCAUGAUGUCAAACACAAAAGAAACAAGGAAAGGAUUAAAAAGAAAGUUUAUAUCUCUUGAAGAUAAAAUCCAAAUUUUAAAUCGUUUAGAAG